rnacentral:rRNA from 1 species
AUUGAACGCUGGCGGCAUGCCUUACACAUGCAAGUCGAACGCGAAAGGGGGGCAACCCCCGAGUAGAGUGGCGAACGGGUGAGUAAUACAUCGGAACGUGCCCAGUAGCGGGGGAUAACCUCUCGAAAGAGAGGCUAAUACCGCAUACGUCCUACGGGAGAAAGAGGGGGAUCGCAAGACCUCUCACUAUUGGAGCGGCCGAUGUCGGAUUAGCUAGUUGGUGGGGUAACGGCCCACCAAGGCGACGAUCCGUAGCUGGUCUGAGAGGACGACCAGCCACACUGGAACUGAGACACGGUCCAGACUCCUACGGGAGGCAGCAGUGGGGAAUUUUGGACAAUGGGCGCAAGCCUGAUCCAGCCAUGCCGCGUGGGUGAAGAAGGCCUUCGGGUUGUAAAGCCCUUUCGGCUGGGACGAAAAGGUCCGCGCUAACACCGCGGAUCCAUGACGGUACCAGCAGAAGAAGCACCGGCUAACUACGUGC